rnacentral:rRNA from 1 species
GUCCACGCCGUAAACGAUGAGUGCUAGGUGUCACGGGCUUUGACCCUCGUGGUGCCGAAGCUAACGCGUUAAGCACUCCGCCUGGGGAGUACGGCCGCAAGGCUAAAACUCAAAGGAAUUGACGGGGGCCCGCACAAGCGGUGGAGCAUGUUGUUUAAUUCGACGCAACGCGAAGAACCUUACCUGGGCUAGAAAACACAGGAAGUCGGACGAAAGUUCGAUGUGCCUUUCGGGGAACCUGUGGUUAGGUGCUGCAUGGCUGUCGU